rnacentral:lncRNA from 1 species
UUGAUGGAUCUAUCUAUUUUAACCGUUUAAUUAUUGGUUAGUUUAAACAUAAUGUAAUGAUAAUUAUGUACUUUGUUUACGUUCUCAAACCUUCGAGGAUUAUGAGCUCACUUAAGACAUUAGACCGUUGAAGAGAAUUAGUGAAUGACUUUUGCUUAAGUGUCUUAAAAUUAAGUAAUGAGUUCACACUAAAUUCAUAGUUUGAAGUCACCCAAGGAAGGAAAUCUAAUAUGACCUAGUCGUGAAUACUUUCUAUGUUAAGUAAAUCAGUUGUGAAUUCGAUGAGAAAACUCACACCAAUAACAAAUUUGAUGUGUGGAGCAAGGAAUAAUCAAGCAACCAAAAUAAAGUGUAUGAAACAAUUAUAAUCACAAGCCAAAAGUAGAAAACAACGAGAGAGAAAAGAAGAGAAGAGAAGAGAGAACACAAAAGAAUUUAUUGACCCAGUUCAGUCCAAAUUGAACUAGUAUGGGGGAGAUAGCAGCCCUCCGUUUCGCUUUAAGAUGAGUAACGUUACAAAAAGAGAUGUCAAUGAGUUACAAGAAAAAGUCUCUUGUCUAAUUCUACCAAAACUCCAAUCUCUUCCCGUAGCCAAGAGACACAAUCCUAAUAGUGUUUCCCAAGGUGAAUCAACCCUCAAACCUUAGUGUUUGUUCCCAAGAGACAAACUCUAUACAAACUCUAGUUUUGUUGUUGUCAUUCUAAACCCUUAUUUCAGCCCCCUCUAUCUCAAAGUUUACUCUGAUACAAGGUCUAUAUUUAUAGUAAAAGUAUCGCUUAAAUUUUGAAACAAAUCUGUACACAAAAAUACAUUUCUGUUAUUCGCUGCCAGCGCAUCAUCGUGCCACGAAAAAUCCAGUGACUUGCCUCAAAACUGAAACCUCCAAUUGUGCCACGUUGCCCAGCCAUUAUGCCACGAUUUCUGCAGAACCUGAUUUUAAAUUAACUCUCACAAAAUCAAGAUUGAAAAUGUGAUCACAAAGCUAAUUUAAUAAAGAUUGAAAAACCAUACAUAUGAAUACUUGUUCAGAAAAAACAGAAUUGAAGAAAAAUGAUGAUAUCAAGGAGAAGGAGCAAAAGGUUUCUUUGGUUUCUGUAAGAGUUUUGAGAGAGACAUGAAUGCUUUUUUUACACAAAAUUAGUCAUUGUCAAGAUCAAGUUGAUUUUACCCAAAACUUCCAACAAUUAUAUCAGCAAUCCACAAGUACCACAUGUUUAACUAUAUAUAAGAUUUUCUUUAAAAAGAAACUAUAUAUAAGAUUUGGAUCAUAAAUGGAGGUAGCAAAUAGUGUAUAAAACUGCUGAUCCGUUUCAUGUUAUUUAAGUUCCACAUCGGAUAGUUUAGAGGGAAUGGCAUGGAGCAUGAAGUAUAAAAACAAGUGUCUGAUAGAUUGCAAAUCACUCACCUGGAUGGGGUCAAUAGGUGAUCAAGAAGGCUCAUAGCCUAAGACAAUGACCUCCAUUGCACUUUGGAGGGGUGCUGGCCUAAGGUCUACUCAAGUGGUGGAGCCUACAUCAUAAUUUGUUGCACGCAAGUCCCUUCCAAUUUAGUUAAAUUAUUUUUUUGGGUACACAUUUUAUUUUUAAAUUUAAUUACUAAUUAUGUAAUUAGUACUUUUAUAAUUAAAAAGAGAGAAGCAUAAAUAUAUUAACUAAUGGUAAUUUUGUAUAAAUUUUAUCACAGAUUAAAACCAAAGAAAAAGAACAAAAAAAAAAGAAAAAGGAAAGAGAACCCAUAUUUGGUAGGGAACAUAUUCAUUGGAAACUACUUUUCCAGUCUCUACUUUGAGUUUCCUAUUUGAAAAGAGUUGUAAAUAAUAUAAAAAAUAUCAUUUAAUUUUUGCAACCGGAUUAUCAUACGUGAAUGUGUUUCUAUUUCUACAUCGCAUAAUAUUGCAAGAGGGAUUGGCAAGAGACGUAAUAUUACAAUGUACUAUGACAAUCAUUAUGCAAUAUGCUUAUAGAAUUACAAAGGUGUCUAAAAGAAAUUUGAAACAAAAUAUAAUUGGAAAAAGGCGCAACGCACACAAUAUAUUACAUGAAUAAUUUUUCAUUUUUUUUAUGUGUCAUUAUUAAAAAGAGAGAAGCAUAAAUAUACUAACUAAUGGUAAUUUUGUAUAAAUCUUACCACAGAUUAAAACCAAAGAAAAGGAAAGAGAACCCAGAUUUGCUUUCAUGACAAAGAGUGAAGUUGAUCACCUAGAUGAUGGUUAUAGGUGGCGUAAAUAUGGCCAAAAAGCUGUGAAAAACAGUCCUAUACAUAUACAUAUAGAUACAUAAUCUUAAACUUUCUUCCAUUUCAUUUCUCAAUUUUCAUUCUCUUGUGUCCUACAAUAAACAGUGUAGUAGUUCACUAAUUAAUUUAAUUAAUUUAAUUUGGGACAUUAAUUAGUUAAUUAAUAUAAUUUUUGACUUGCGAGACAUGUAAAUGUAACCGCAUUGAAACAAAAACAGGAGCUACUAUAGUUGUACAACGGCAAGUUGCGGCGUGAAAAACCGCAUGGAGCGUUCUUCCGAUGAUUCUUCUGUUGUCGUCACUACUUACGAGGGUCAACAAACACAUCCUUCUCCUACCACAUCACGUCCUAACCUCCGCUUCGUUCACAUUUUUAAGUGGUAUCAUGAACUAUCUUGACCACAUCAAUAAAUUGCUCAUUUUCAUUGGUUGGUGGGUAAAUUAUCCACCAUUCUUCAAAGGUAAUCUAGAAAAAACCUUAACAGAAAGGUCAUGUCGGCGCUCUUUAGCAUUUUCUUAAUAAAAUUGUAUAGUAGUUUAGUAUUUGGUUCUUUGAAACUUGGCAAAAGGGACUAGGGAGAGACUUAAUAUUACAUUGUAUUGUAAUAGGCUUAUAGAAUUAUAAAGGUCUCUAGAAAAAAUUUAAAACAGAAUGUAAAUUGGAAGAAAAAAAGUGUGGAUGGUUUAUAAAAAAUCCGAUUUGAUUUGAUAUUAAUGUUGUAUGUAUGCAGAUGUUGAUGUCUACUGCAGAAGAUCAAAGAUCCAAUGCAUUCCACCUUUGAAGUUUUCACUUAAAGUUGUUCAAGAUAUGAUAAACAAAGUCUUAACCCUAUUAACUCAAAUGCUACCGAUUCUAAGAUUAAAGUUUAAGGAAAAGAGUUACGAGUGGUGAACUAUCAGCAAAUUUUCCUAGUCUUGCAUUGCUAAUAAGAGAAAUUAGACGAGUUUAAGGUUAUAUAAAAAAACAGGUUAACCAAUAUUUAAAACCAUCUUUGCAUUGCACUUGGGGCAAUGACGCAUCUAGUGAGGUUCUAACCGAGGCGUGUCUAUUGCUGGUUGAAAACUAUUUCCUGAUCCCCUCUUAGACUUGGGUCCAACUCAAGCCUUUGAGAAUUCCUGGAAGGAUUCCCUUUGGGGUAAAGUCCUACAAUUUUUUUUCAAAGUAAAAGUCAUUCAACUUUUACAGUUUGCUCAUGCUCUGCCGAUUUGCUAAUGUUAAUAAUGAUCUUUUGGCUACCUAUGCAAAAUAUUUUGGUAGAUUUGCUAUCUUUUUUAGGAUUUUCAUGUGCGAAAAGUAUGAAGGAAUAACAAUUGUCUACUUACGUUAAUCUUAGUUUCUGCAUGUUAUCAUAGUUUCUGCUUGUUAUAUGUUUUUAGGUUCUUUGUCUUAGUUUUGCAGUUUAUCUUAGUUUCUUUUUUCAUAUUCAUUUAUUAUGGAACACAUACAAGUUUGAGUUUAGGAAAUUUGACGCCGUUAGUAAUUGAUUUAGCCAUGUGAAUUGGUGAUUUAAGUGGCUGAGGGCUGAGGGCUGAGGGUAGAGCAAAGCUAUGAGAAAAUACAAUUCAGAAUUUGAUGAGUUAAGGCUUCAUUCUCCAACAAUAGAAAGUGAAUUGAUGAGAUCUUUAAUAAGUUCAACAUUUCUGCAGAGAUUAUUAGGAAUUUUAGAUUCAUGAUCUGUGUACCAGAGAAUGUAUCAUCUUGUUUUUUAUUUUUGAGUCAAAACUCAAAAGGCAAUUCCACUCAGAAUCAACCUUAAUUGCAUCAUGAUAUAUAACAUAGGGUGAUUGCUCAUCUUGUUGAUAGUUACUUGAAAGGGAAAAGAAGCAGUAAAAACAUAGGGUGAUAUGUGAAAAUUCCAAGGCAAUGAAUACAAUAAUAUUUACAAAUAACAUUGAUCAAUAGUCAAGAAACAAAUGAUGCCAGACAACCAAAACACAAGACACAGACCAAUAUUACUGGGUCAAACAUGUGCUUUUAUCUCAAAAUUACAACAUUGAUAUGAAAGAUGCAUAAUAUAUUAAAAUGUGAUCUCAUAGUUAAUUUAAUGAAGAUUGAAAAACCAUACAUAUGAAGACAUGUUCUAAAGAAACAUAUUAGAAGAAGAAUGAGGAUAUCAAGGAGCAGAAGGUUUCUUUGGUUUUCGUAAGAGCUUUUGAGAGAGACAUGAAGGCUUUUCUACACAUAACUAGUCAUUGUUAAGGUCAAGUUCAUUUUACCCAAAACUUCCAACAAUGAUAUCCACAUUCCACAAGUGCCACAUGCUUAGCUUGGAUCAUAAAUGGAGGUAGCAAAUAGUGUGUAAAACCACUGAUCCCUUCCAUGUUAUUUAAGUCCCACAUCGGAUAGUUUAGAAUGAAUGGCACGAAGCAUGAGGUAUAAAAUCAAGUUUGUGAUACGUUGCAAAUCACUUACCUGGAUGGGGUCAAUGGGUGAUCAAGAAGGCCCAUGGCCUAGGCAAGUGACCUCCAUUGCACUUUGGAGGGGUGCUAGCCUAAGGUCUACCCCAAGUGGUGGAGCCUACAUCAUAAUUUGUUGCCGUGGGGGUUUGCGUUCGCGCAGCCCCUUCCAAUUUAGUUAUGAAAAUAUAAACUUGCCAAGACCUGAUAACCGGAUCAUAAUCUGCUAAUUGAAGAUAAUGCAAAGUAAACAUCUCUGCAGUAUUUAUUAGAAUUAUUCUGUAUUGCAGGCUGUUAGAUAAGUGCAGGAGGAUUUGUUAGGGAACAUAUUCAUUAGAAACUACUUUUCCCAUCUCUACUUUGAGUUUCCUAUUUGAAAAGAGUUGUAAAUCAUAUAAAAAAUAUCAUUUAAUUUUUGCAGGCGGAUUAUCAUACACGAAUUGUUUCUAUUUCUAUAUCGCAUAAUGUUGCAAGAGGGAUUGUAUUACAAUGUACUAUGACAAUCAUUAUGCAAUAGUCUUGUAGAAUUAUAAAGGUAUCUAGAAGUUUAAAAUAGAAUGUAAUAGGAAAAAAGUGUGAAUGGUUUAUAUAAAAUGUAAUUUGAUUCGAUAUUAGUGUUGAAUGUAUACAGAUUUUGAAGUCUAUUGCAGAAGAUCAAAGAUUUAAUACAUUCCACCUUUAAAGUUUUCACUUGGACUUGUUUAAGACAUGAUAAACAAAGUCUUAAUCUUAUCAACUAAGAUGCUACCAAUUCUAAGUUUAAAGUUUAAUGCAAAGAGUGACAAGUGGUGACUUAGCCGCAAAUUUUCCUCGUCUUACAUGUAAUUCAUAAACGCAAGUCAUGUGUGCCAUGCACAUAUCAAGAAACUUAGCUCGCUCCUCAGAAUGAACAACAAUGACAUCGUCACCAGCCAUUGGCAGCCCUCGAAUCCCUUCAAUCUCAACAGGCAUUGCGGGAGUUGCUCGUUGAGUUAACCUCCCUGCUGCAUCUUUAGUAGACCUUAUUUUUCCCCACUGCGAUCCUUCAACCGCAUGUUGUCCACAAACUACCUUCACUAUUGUAGUCACCAAUGGACCCCGUCCUUUGUCAAGUCUUGCUUCAACCACAUAUGCUUGAGCAGGACCAUCAAAUUGUGCUUUAAGAUCCAUCAUAUAAGCCUGAAGGAGUAAAGCUACCUCUAGGUUAUCCGGUCCAGUCUUUUUAAUCGCGGAAACUUCAACGACCUGAAGUUUAAUGAAGACUUAACUAAACUCAUGGAAAAGUGCUCCCUCCCCAUCUCACCAGUAGAAAAAGUCCAAUGGUGUCUGACAGUAGAGUAUUGGAUGGGUGCAUUCAAUUAUAAACACGAGAAAGAAAUAGAAAAAUAAAAUGAAUACCGCUCAAACAUCAAAUUUUUAGAAGUUAAAAAUUUGGAACUCUAUAUGUUGUUUUUAACUUGAAGUAGUGCUCCUUGACACUCACUUGCGGCAGUAGAAAUUUUUAUUUGAUUGACCCUUUAUACAAAUUGGGAGCUACAUACAAUGGCGUUUCCAGAAUUUUCAUUCAGGGGGUUCGAAUUAUUUUUGUUUCGAUCCAUCAUCAAGUAAGCCACAAUAUGUUUCUAAGUACUGUCCUUGUUGGAUCGUUGAAUGAACCCUUACGGUUGUCUUUUAUAAAAGACACUCAUUGGAUUGAGGAGUGUGACUGUAGUAUAUAAACUACUUUUAAUGAUUUCCAAAAAAUAUGAGAUUUUAAGGUGUACCAAUACAUAUACUUUUUAUACUUACCAGAAUUUAAAUACUUGUAUAUUUUCACUUCCCUUUUGCAUGUAAACCCACGCAAGAUUCCUUCUACGGAUUUUAAUACUCUUACAAACGUGUAUAUUUUUGUUUUUUCAAAUCACAUUUCAUUGUUCAAUGGUUUUUUAAUGAGUAAGCAUUAGCUAAGUAUUCAUUGAAUUUGUUUUCUUUUACAAUAAUUUUACAAAUCAAUUUGAUCCUUCUAGAAGGCAAAACAACUUUUUGGUGUAGCCUAAUUUCUUUCCAAUUUUACCCUUAUUUUUUAAUGUAAAUUUCCCAUUUUACCCUUUAAACGUAAACAAUAGUUAGUGGAACUUCUCUCAUUUUAUAUUUUGUUGUAUGCAUUUUUGUGUGGAAGAGUUUAUCAUUGGUCACAUAAUGAAGGAGAGAAGCCGCCUGCAUUUGGGUACACUUUUGUCUUCUCUAUUCUAAUAUAGUGUUUAUAAAUGACAUACGUCAGCGCAGUAGAAAAAACGGACAGACGAGCACAUGAGUACCCGUUUGGACGCUAGUUUUAUUUAAUGAUAAUUAUUCUUUUCCCAUUUUUGUUUUAUAAAUAAAUGUUUCGUUACAAUGACGCAUUGCUUAUAUUGUUGAGAUAACGACCAAUUCUAACCCAAAUACAAAAACACUAAACUAACCCUUUAUGUGGGUCACAUUCACACAUAAAAAGGUAAACAUUAAAAAUUUAGUGUUCCCUUCUUUGAAAUUCAACAAAAUUUUCACUUCCCUUUUGCAUGUAAAUCCACACAAGAUUCAUUCUACGGAUUUUAAUACUCUUACAUACGUGUAUAUUUUUGUUUUUUGAAAUCUCUUUUCAUUGUUCAACGGUUUUUUGCUCAGUAAACAUUAGCUAAGUAUUCAUUGAAUUUGUUUUCUUUCUCAAUAAUUUUACAAAUCAGUCCGAUCCUUCUAGAAGGCAAAACAACUUUUUGGUGUAACCUACUUUCUUUCCAAUUUGACCCUUAUUUUUUAAUGUAAAUUUCUCAGUUUACCCUUUAAACCUAAACAACAAUUACCGGAACUUCUCUCAUUAUAUAUUUUGUUGUAUGCAUUUUUGUGUGUAAGAGUUUAUCCUUGGUCACAUAAUGAAGGAGGGAAGUCGCAUGCAUUUGGGUACACUUUUGUCUUCUCUAUUCUAAUAUAAUGUUUAUAAAUGACACACAUCAGCGCAGUAGAAAAAACGGACAGACGAGCACAGGAGUGUCUGUUUGGACGCUAGUUUUAUUUAACGAUAAUUAUUCUUUUUCCAUUUUUGUUUUAUAAAUAAAUGUUUCGUUACAAUGACGUGUUGCUUAUAUCGUAGAGAUAACGACCAAUCAACUUAUAAAGAGAAAGAGAAAAUGUAUAGAUAAUAAUUAAAAUUAAACAAUCCUUUAAAAAAAAUUAAAUUAAAUAUCUUAUUAUGAUAUAUCUUCUUACAUUAAAUAUCUAAUUAUGAUAUCCUUUUAAAAAAAUUAUUACCAUACCAAUUUAUCAUUAUUUUAAGUAACAAGAUCUGAAAAUUCUAACAAAUAACCAUAUAUGAAUUUUUAAUUAAAAUAGAAAUAAUUUAUGAAUUAACAUACAAUUUAAAUAUCAAAUUAAAAUUAUAAAAUGUGUAUUCUAAAGGAGAUAUGAAAAUCAGGGAAGAAAAAAACUAAUGUAAACAAUCAUAAUUGUUAUAUCAUUAUAAAUGUUUGAGGUUUUUUAUAAUUACUUCUAAAGUCACACAUACAGUUGAUUCUAAUUUGCUAAAAGUGUAAAAUUAUUUGCUAUCUUAUUUCGCGCUCGUAUGCGGGUUUGAUGAGAAGUGUAUGUGGUGUGCAUAUUUGCUUCAAUUACUUUUAGACCACUUUUGUUAUAUUUGGACUGUAUAUAUGUCUGUUUGGGCUGAUUUUGUGGUUUGAGUGGAUUAGGUUUAUCAAACCUGCUAAUUUUUGUGGAAUUUUUCAAAGAUUUAUCAAAUCAUAAAAUAAUGAGAAAUGCAUGUAUAGUUAUUUUAUAAAAUUGUAAGAUAAUCUUUAUAUGAAAACAAUAGUUAAUUUUACGAUUUAUCAAUUGCAUGGCCUGGUGAUGGACGAUUUGGCAAGUGCACCAAAUCAUAACAAAUAAUAAAGUAAUAAGUUAUCGUCUCUACAUGAAUUGUCGUUCAACUUAGCAAUUAACAAAAUUUAUUUAUGUAAAAAACUUCAUCUCCUUUCAAGCUAAACAUAAAGCACCCUCAUGCAUCAUAAAGAGAUUCCUCUUCUCUUUCUAAAAGUUGGUUAUCUCAAGUCUCAACACGCUUCUUCUUGAAAUUUGUGUCCAAGAAGAACCGUUCUACAAAUUUAUCUUAAAGUUAAUCCAUAUUUUAAUGGUUCCACUUGAUAAAGCCAACCGCCAAUUUUUAGCUCUUCCAACUAGAGACAUUGGAAAAAGUUGCAGUAGUGUCUUCUGAUCCACUGUUAUACCAUCUGGGCAGCAAUACUGACAAGUCUCAUAGACUUGUUGGGGUCUUGUACUGGUCCUCCACCACAUACAUGUUGUGCUUCAAACUUGUACAGUAUAAAAUGUUUUCCUCCUUCCAAAAAAGAGUAUAAAAUGUUUUCCAAAAACCAAUAAUUUUAGCGCAAAGUGGUUAACGAGUUUCAUCAAGUACGAAUUAUUAAGGAGCAAUUUAUUGAUGAAAUAAUUUUUAUUCAGACUUUAUUUAUUUUUCGCCCAAACUCCAGAUUAUCAGAGUCUCUUUUUCCAAAAAUUGAAAUAUACACAAAAAUAUGUUUCCCAAAAACAUAAAUACAAAAAUAUCAUAUAACAUUCUUUAAAUAUAUAUAUAUAUAUAUAUAUAUAUAUAUAUAUAUAUAUAUAUAUAUAUAUAUUUUGAAGAGACUAAAAUGAAAUAUAUUAACACAACAAUGGUCUUCCUAGCACUAGGUGUGCUAAGGAAGAAACACCAAAGUCAACACAGUAUUACAUCAAUAAUUACAAGGCCACAGCCAGCACCAAAAAACUGCAUAGGAGACUACAGAGUUUAUCAUAUGUCUAAUAAAGUGAAAGAACUAUUGAAAGGAAUAGUAGCAUACUUCACCUUCAACCACUUAUAAGUUAGCAGCUUAAACCUGUCCACCACCUGAACGAUUGAACUAUAUAUAUAACAUUGUUCUUCCAUUAGUGGUUGUAGUCGCGUGUUUAUUAACCGACGAUCCUUUGCAGCUGAAAUGCGAUAUUCAUGUUAUACGUUUUAUCAUUCUCCGUUACUUCACGUUACUACAUAUUUUCAAUUAGUUUGAUAAUGACAUGCACUAAAAAAUUAUUAUUUUAUCCAAUUAUA